UAAAAGUUCCUAUUAGACGUACGUACUACCGAAGUUGGGCAGAAUCGUUCAACGGUAAUUCCGUUGGUAGCUUUUGGGAUGGGUCUUAACCGACUCUCUUGAGGCGCUUGUAUGUGGUUACAAUUUACAAUAAAAGGCAUGUGCAUUAUUAGCUUUGGCGGUAUCCGUAAUCUCUAUGAGUUUAUACAGAGAGGACACGCAUACAUUUUAUGUAUAUAGGUGAUGGACAUGAAAUGAUGAUGUAUCGAGAUUGGAUAUCUAUCUCGUCAUGGGCUAGGCAUUCCUGUUACAUUAUUGACGAAAGAGUAUAUCCACCAACGAUGCUUGGUAGACGAGUUAUCCUACUUUUACCUACGAGUAAAGUAACAAUUUUCAGAUCAGAAGGAAUGAUAGUUUCAUCGUCAAUUCCAAAAGGUUUCAAAGUCGGUCGUUACAUGGGAUGUACACUCGGCGUAAUCAUAACUGGAGUAGUUUACGCCAAGUGAACGUACAAGGAAAAACGGUAAGUGGACGUUAUACCGACAACUACCGGUUGUUCGUUAAAUCGUGGACUGCGGAGUGCUGUCUUAUUCGAAGAGUAUAUAAGGAAAGUGGCUGCUUCGUAGAAAAAUUUACAACGAUUCAAUGCGGUAGGGUGUUAUGCAUCGGGGCGAAAGGUGUAGGCCUCGUGGAUGGCUCGAGAGGAAUCCUAUCGAGCGAAAUGAGAAAGUUUUCGAAAAGAUUCACCGUUGGGGCGAUCGCGAUCCGAGCAUCGGAGUCUGUGAGAGGAGUAAAAUGGGGAACGAAGUUCGAGAUCGACUUCUGGGUAAAGACUAGGCGCCGCGGCACUGCACACUUGUUGAGGGGAAACCUUCGGCAGCUACCGUCACCACCCCGCCUCUACCCCCUUCCAUCCCACCCGCGGAUCUAUUUCCCCCACUCCGGGGGCCGAACAACGCGACCCUGACCUUGCACCACUUCCGCGUUAUCCUUACGUUAGUAAGGUUCUAGCUAUGCUCGUGCCUACUACUCGUUGUCACUUCAUUUUGCUCGACCAAUGAUAUCGACCCGGUGCCGAAAAUUUCGGUCACCAACAGCGACCGAGAAAGAGAGAGUAGUAAAUGAAUUCUGAACAGGGGAUAAGUGAGGUUGACGAUCCCGGAAAAUCGUACUCCAAACCGCCUGGAUAUAUUUACAAAACAGAUUUUGCAAUGUAAGACAGAUCUGGUUGUCGUAAGGACACGCGAAGAGAAGAAAGAAAAAAUUAUACGUGCCCAAACGUACUUUUUCUAUGCACGAACACAUUUCUCCUAUGGCAAUAAUCUCGCGCUGUGAUGGUUAUUGAUUAAAAUGUGACACGACGUAUCUCUACUAUCAUAUUUUAACACGUGUGCACACACGCCUUACCUGCGCUGCUCGUAUUAUACGUGAAUCUGUUUAUCCAUGUCGAGAGAGAGAAUGAUAGUUCGUAACGUGUGUACGCGUACAAUCCAUAGACAAACUUCAUAUAUACAAUACGGGAGGGAUAUAAAAUUACCCGCGCGACUCGUGACGUGCGUGCGCGUUGUACGGUCCGCCGCUACGUAUGCACAUACGUGUCAUGUACGUACGUACGUAGAUAUAAUAUUCGAUAUGUGUAUACCUAUAACGUGUAGCAGGGUUAGUAACCCCUGGUGGUUUGAACGUCGUCGGUUGACGAGCCACAGGCGUUCUCCUUUUUCUCUUUUCCGCUUUCCCGUUCCUUCUUCCUGCCCUGCCGCGUUAUAAACCCCCGAACUACGGUGCUACAUGCUGAAUUUAUUCCCUCGUCGUUUUCGACGCGAGUUUUCCCCAACACCCUUCGAGUAGCGCCUUUUCAUCCCGCUACGGUUGUGCAGUGUAUCCGUAUACCUUGACGAUCUCCCUUAUCGCGAUAUCGCGUAUAAAAGCCGAUAGUAAAACGCGUGUCGGCAGUUCGCACGCGACGAAAAUAUCGCGAGUAGGGUAAAGAGGGAAAACACGGGAGUAGUAGGAGGAAUAAGAGGACGGAAUGAAUAAGGAAAAGGGGGAUAAUAAAGGGUGGGGGGAAUACGAAGUCUUCGGUUGCGUCAGACUCGACGGCAUUCGAUUCACAGACUGCAUAUCACUUCGGGACUCUGAAGGCGACGGUGCACGGGUUGUUGGUUCGCGGGAAGAACCCAAGAGACGCGAUUAGACGCGGCGAGUCACCGGGUAUCAGGUAUAGACCGACCGCACGGCAAUGGCACGACACACCGCGAGAGAACGGCAAGGGGAGAAGUGCUAGAAGUGAGUUUAAAGCGUGCCUACUACUCGAUGAUGCCGUUGCCGCAAUCUAUGCCGCCACGCGGACCCUUGAUCAAUGCAUUGCUACAGUCGCCGUGCCGGAAGCAGUGCGGCAAGUUCAAGGAACCGUCGAGUCAACCGUUGGCGAGAGCGGAGCGAAAUUAAUGCAUCGGCUCUUCGUAGGCGUUGACGACCGAUCGGCUAUGAGCGAGAGCACAGGGGGUUUACGAGUAAAUAUACACGCUAUGCUCAACGUGAAAGUCUUGGUCCCCUGGCAGCAUCACGCCGACCAAAUUAAAAGAAGGAGACAAAGAAAGAGAUGUGGAAGUUGAAACGAGAGAUGCAUGGAAACGAUGCCGACGAAGACAGCAUUAUUUGAUCAUGACGGUACCAGAGAGUUGAUCAUUUGCACGUUGCGACUAAAAAUUGGAAUAGCAAUGUAACGUUGCAGCGUAAAGUACACGCCUACUGCAACACAGGCUUCGGUUUCGCUCAAAACGACGGAUGUUUGCACAGGAAGUGGCGUUCGAAAAUUUACCAAAAGAAUAAUGAGAAUCAUCGCGGUAUAUUCAUCGAAAGUUUCUCCUGAAAAACAAUAAUCAUUUUCCAAAGGGU